rnacentral:rRNA from 1 species
CCUGGCGUCAGGAUGAACGCUGGCGGCGUGCCUAACACAUGCAAGUCGAGCGGGAAUCUGUUGAUUGAAACUUCGGUCGAAAGAAGCAGAGGAUAGCGGCGGACGGGUGAGUAACGCGUAGGUAACCUGCCCCUUACACAGGGAUAGCCUCGGGAAACUGGGAUUAAUACCUGAUAAUGCGGUGAAGUCACAUGGCUCCAUCGCCAAAGAUUUAUCGGUGAGGGAUGGACCUGCGUCUGAUUAGCUUGUGGUGAGGUAACGGCCCACCAAGGCAACGAUCAGUAGCCGACCUGAGAGGGUAAUCGGCCACAUUGGAACUGAGACACGGUCCAAACUCCUACGGGAGGCAGCAGUGGGGAAUAUUGCACAAUGGGCGCAAGCCUGAUGCAGCAACGCCGCGUGAGCGAAGAAGGUCUUCGGAUCGUAAAGCUCUGUCCUCAGGAACGAAGAAGUGACGGUACCUGAGGAGGAAGCCCCGGCUAACUACGUGCC